GAGUGCUUCGAGCUUAGAGCUAUUAACAAUCAUACUUUACCGAAUGGAACAACGUAUGCGGUGUCCCAAAGGAUUCAAUAAUUUCCCGGAGAUUCGUGGUGGCGACAUUGAAAAACAUAUUUUAAUCAGAUGGCAAGGAAUUGACAAAGAGCAUAAGCUUGAGCUUUAAAAGAAGACGGGAAGGAUUUAUUGAGACUAUCCGGACGCCCUGUCCCCCAGACACCUUAUUAUGGGCCAACCUGUUCUAUCCUCGAUCUGGGAUUUAGCGAAUGGAUUCAGAUCUACCUACACUCGCAAAUCUGCGGCCGAGAAUGUGCCCAAUGGUUUACCAUUCAUAUCUGAGACCUCGUAGGAACUAGUACCCUUCCUGGCCAUAAUGAUGCAGGGUGUAUAAAUCGGUCCUAGCUUCGCAUUGAAGUCCUUAACCGCGGAAGAUUGAAGAAAAGUGCGUUUGAACACUCGUUGACCCACAGUAAAAGUAGGUAUAGUGGUAAUAUUCGCGGCAAGCAUGGCUAUUCUGCACUCGUCCCGGGUAUUUCGGAAAAGGACGUCGAAUUUCCGUCUCUCAUCCCAUGGAUUGGACUUGCUACGAAAAAUCCGGACCAUGUCCAAGUAAAAGUCCUGGAACUUUUCUUUAGCACCUUGCUUUCGAUUGUUAGCCUGUCGUUCAUAGACGUAAUCAAUGUCAAUUGGUAAGAACUCAUUUACUGGAAUCUUGCGUAUCUUCAGUUCAUAUUCCAACUCAUCUAUUGUUAAUUGAGCGGCAUUCAUAGCUCGAUAUUGCGACACAAAAUGAGACAUCGCCAUUUUUGAGGACUGCUUGUACAAAAGAACACCAGGACAAUGAAUAAUACAGACUUUAAAAAGAUAACACUUUUAUUUCAUACACAAUUAUACAAUUUAAAAACACGAUCAAUGAAAUACUGUUACAAAUAGAUUAAAAAUUGUUGUAAAUUAAAAAAAAAAUAGAAUAUUGAAUUAAUAUUAUUUUUGACUAGUAUAAGUAAAGAUUUUA